rnacentral:tRNA from 1 species
UCCUCGGUUGGCUCAGAUGGAUAGAGCGUCUGCCAUGAAAGCAGGAGAUCCUGGGUUCGAGUCCCAGUCGGGGCA